GGAUCUCAAAACCCUGGUUGCAUAAAGUGAACACUGAUGAAACUAUGACACCCAGACAUGACGGUAUAAAACAUCCACAACAUAAUGGUCUGACUUUAUUAUUCUCAUUCAGAACUGGCUACUUAAGUUUGUUUUCAAAGUAAAAGAUUGGAUUUUAAUGACAUUAUUGAAAAGGUUAAUAUAGCAAGUUGAG